CCGCAUUAAUCGCUUCUGCGUUUCUUCCCACACAGGUAAACUAUCCGCGGUAAGCUGCUACACGGCGCGGACUACCCAAACGCGACCCGAGGAAACUCCGAAACGCAUUUCACAUUCCGAAUAGCAUUUUCAGAGGCGAAUUAUAUCCCGCCGGAACGUACCUACAAUUCAAAUGCCGGUUUAAACACACCGCGGCCCGGGAAUUUCAACGGUAGAUGGUCGGCAUUGAAUAGUUCCGAAAUAACCGUCGCCGAAUAUUCUUCUCUGGCCGACUCCGGGAAAGCCGGAGCGAAAAACAAAUCGGUAGCUAAACCAAAUUCGCCAGAUUUUUAUAUUGAAUCGCCGAAUAAACGCCGUACGUAAGCGGUCGUUGUAUUUCCAAGCCGACGGGGAUAUAAUUCCUAAUGUCCCGCCACCUCCUCCACUGCGCACGUCGCUGCCUUAUCGUAAUACAUUGCAAUCGUCCGAACGGCUGC